AACUUUUUCUCGGUCACGCAGGACGGUCCGAUUCCUUCGAGUCAUCAAAGCGUGACCAUGUUUUGGUAUAAAUUGAAAUCCACCCAUGUAUAUUUGGUCAGAAAGUUGUCAUUGAUUUGAGGAUUGAGUGUUUUGUGUAUUCAGUGUCUUGUUGCACUAUUGGUUGUAACACAAUGAAGAAUUUCCUUCUGAUUGUCCUGUUGGUCUGUCUGUUUGUUGCUUAUGUGGUGGAAGCAAAUGCACGACAAGCUUUAGCCUUGAUGUAUCUGAUGAGAUCCCGCAUGUUUCGGGGGAUGGGCGGAGGACUAUUUCAGAGACUAAUGCCCCUUUACUUCAUGUCCGAGGCCGAUCUACUCUGAAGAAAACCCACCAAAUUGAUGCAGGAAGGUUUCAAUGAUGAAGGGCCAAUCCAUUUGUCAUUAAUCACAUCACCACAUUUAAAGAUAAAUAUACAUAAGUCGACGUCAUUUCAUCAUUAAAAUUUAGAUUUUAUGAAUGUACUUUUGUAUGCUUGUGACAUAUUGUAUAUUGCAUAACCAUUUGUAUUUACGUCGUUAAGAAUUUUGUUCAGAGGUAAAUAAUGAUGAAAAUAAAAUUUUGAACAUAGAA